rnacentral:rRNA from 1 species
GACGAACGCUGGCGGCGUGCUUAACACAUGCAAGUCGAACGGAAAGGCCCUGCUUGCAGGGUACUCGAGUGGCGAACGGGUGAGUAACACGUGGGUGAUCUGCCCUGCACUUCGGGAUAAGCUUGGGAAACUGGGUCUAAUACCGGAUAGGACCGCACUUUAGUGUGUGUGGUGGAAAGUUUUUUCGGUGUAGGAUGAGCUCGCGGCCUAUCAGCUUGUUGGUGGGGUAAUGGCCUACCAAGGCGGCGACGGGUAGCCGGCCUGAGAGGGUGUACGGCCACAUUGGGACUGAGAUACGGCCCAGACUCCUACGGGAGGCAGCAGUGGGGAAUAUUGCACAAUGGGCGCAAGCCUGAUGCAGCGACGCCGCGUGGGGGAUGAAGGCCUUCGGGUUGGAAACUCCUUUCGCUAGGGACGAAGCUUUUUGUGACGGUACCUAGAGAAGAAGCACCGGCUAACUACGUG